GGUCCUGUUUGAAUUUCAGCCUUUGUCCCUUCUUUGGUUAGUGUCUAGCUGCUGAAAUAACUCUUCUUUGUCUCCCUGCAGCGGGGCCUGAGGCUACCGUCCCAAGUAUCAACAGCUCAAGAAGGAACUUGAAAAACAGUUCCCAGGCAAGCUGGAGAUCGUGACUGACUCCUCUUCUCUGCUUAGAGUGGCGAAGGGACCCCUCAGGUCACAGGAUGGUUUGAAGUGACAAUCGCAGGCAAACUGGUGCAUUCAAAAAUGAACGGGGAUGGAUUUGUGGAUAAUCGCACCAAGCUUGCCAAGAUUGUGGCAGCCAUUAAAGAGGCGUUGGCUUUGGGAUAAGAACAGCAGAAUGUAUCGGCGGCUCUGUACGUAGCACAGCUUGAUAAGCAUUUGCUUCGUUCAGCUUGGCCGAGCGCUUGAUGACGGGAGUUGCCGAAAUGUCCCCUGACGUGUGGCCAUUCCCAGAAGUUUUUGCGCAGGAUUCCGGUCUGAACAAAGGCAGAUGAGGAUCCAGCUCUGUGCUUUGGCAUGCUUUAUAUCUGUACGCAACACCCGUCUAGAGGUGAAACGGCCCCUCUAACGUGCCCUGUUAUAUCACUGUGCCAUUAAGGAGCCUCUAACUUUGAGUAAUUAUUGAGUGAGUUUCACUGUUCAACCUCAGAGAAAUCUGUCUUAGUGCUAUCACACCAACAAGCUCUUUGUCUGGGGUUGCUGGGAUGAAGGCUGUCAAGUAAGGGAGGAUCACCAUCUGGGAAUCCCAUUAGUGUAGGAAGAAGAAUUACAGCUCAUUUUCAGGUAUGGGGGGAAAUGAGCGGGAAAUGAGAAGUUUUAACAAAUGACGGAAUAGUCUGUUUUAAUUUAAAACUCAGGAUUUUUAUAAAUCCCAACAUUUUCUUAAACUGUUGUCGAAACACUUUUCCCCUCUUCUGCAGAACCUUGAUGCACUCCAGACAAAUUGCAUUGAGAUGUCCCAGCUAGGCAGUGGUGUUUGCUCACAAAAAGUAACCUCUAAAUCUUGGUAUUUCUGAAUCGUGAUAAUGCACUUCCUCCUUCAAGAAUCACUUAGUGUUGCAAAACUUUCUGGUUUUUUAAUUUUGUUGUAUGAUUAACUUUUGUUGCACUUCAGAAAGGUGUCUGUCAAAUAAAAUGAAAGUCAUAAACU